rnacentral:misc_RNA from 1 species
AACGCACGAGACCUGCGGACCUGCGGAGGGAUCAUUAUAGAGUGGUAAACCCCCCGUAAAAGGGGGGGACCUCCUGUCCUUUGUAGGCUCUUUUUUAAAAGGGCUUUUUUUAAUUUUCUGCUUCGGUGGGGUUAUCCCACCGGAACAACCUCAAAACUCUUAUCAAAAAAUCGUUCUGUCUGAGAACCUUUUAUAAUAAAAAAAAACUUUCAACAAUGGAUCUCUAGAUCGGAAGAGCAC